GACGAACCGUGCGAACGUUGUUCGGAUUCACUGGGCUUAAAGGGCGCGUAGGCGGCCGCACUAGUCUCGGGUGAAAGCCCACGGCCCAACCGUGGAAGGGCCCGGGAUACUGUGCGGCUCGAGGGGGGCAGGGGCAUGCGGAACUUCCGGUGGAGCGGUGAAAUGCGUAGAUAUCGGAAGGAACGCCGGUGGCGAAAGCGGCGUGCUGGGCCCCUCCUGACGCUGAGGCGCGAAAGCCAGGGGAGCGAACGGG
rnacentral:rRNA from 1 species